GAAGAACGUCGUGAAUGAUUAAACAUACGCUCAUGGGGCGUACAUCCAGUAGCUGUGCAUAGAAGUGAGCGGAUAGCAUGAAGUGACUUCUCAAGGACAGUUUCCCAUUGAGUAAUAGGCAAAUUAAUUGAUUUUAAGUUGAUGAACUUACAUCUGCACACGGGAAAGCGAAAGGAAAUCUAGAAAACUCAUCCACCACACGCAUACAUUGCAUGAUGACGUCAUACGUCUGACAUCCUCAACUGAGAAUGGUAAAUUUUUUGAUCUGAUCCAGUGUACCAUUCUAGUUAUACCGGGAUGACACAGAUUAUUAUGCAACUCGAGAAGCUUAGCAUUGUCUACUGUUGUUAAUGCUGUUACAUUUGCUCUUGAAAGGGCAUCGGCCACAAUGUUAUCCUU